ensembl:lincRNA 1700008K24Rik RIKEN cDNA 1700008K24 gene
CAGGGAUGAAGGCAAGCUGGCGUCUAGCUGAUCAGCUGGUUGGUGAGGACUCUUCACGAAGUCAGGGACCAUUGUGAAGAUGGAAGAAUGCCCACAAAAUCCAGCUUGAAACCUGCUGGCUCUGAGGGUCCUGCUGGCUCAGCAGUGCUGGUAACCAAGAAGUAUCGCAGGCCCAGGAUAACUCAGCACUCAUGAUCAGCUGUCAAGCUAUAACAGAGUGUUGAGGCAGUCCCUGAAACCACAGCGCCAUUUUGUAGGAACUGAGAAGCCAACCUCAAGGAAAUCACUCACCCCAAGAAGACUUUUGUUCGGAGCUGAUGUGUUUCUAGCCUGAUGGAGCCCCAGCUAUCCAAAAGAAGAGCUGUUAAGAUGAUUGGAACUUUGGUUUUUCCGAUUCACUCUCUUUUUUCUCUCCAGCCGUCUGCCUUAGACAGCAGGAGAAAAGGAAACACAGCCUCAGAGGUGGGGUCCUUCGGAAGGACUGACAGUGGGGUAGCUACCCUGCGGCUGAGAGCCUGAGUGGGGGCUGAGUGCCUUUGGCUCCUUGUCCAGAGCUCAGCUUUACCACAGAGGUUACCUGCUUACCAUCAACAUUGAAACUUGCCUCUUCCCCUGGGUGUAUUCUCCCUCUUUUGUGUACAGUUUGGUUCCUCCAAACUGCUCUCCCUGUGAAGAAAGCCGAUGGAAUUCAGGGAGCCUGGCCAGCCACCCAGGCCUUUAUAAAGGUCCUCGUACCACAGGAUGUAUGGGAGACCCAAUAAAGACUUUUGCAAAAUG